rnacentral:rRNA from 1 species
UUGUCCCGCCAGGGGCACGGCUGGUUGGCUACGUUCGGCACAGAUAACCGCUGAAAGCAUCUAAGCGGGAAGCUGGCUUCGAGAUGAGGUCUCCCCUCCGACCUUCGGGUCGGGUAAGGCCCCCACACGAUGAGUGGGUUGAUAGGCCCGACAUGCACGCACAGCAAUGUGUUCAGUCGACGGGUACUAACCGGCCGAGCGGCUUACCCA